CCCCACUGCUAUCGGGAUGGGACUAAGACAUGCUAGUCGUGCGUCUCCAAGCCAUGGCGGAGACGCGGCGCACAGCUCAGUAACACGUGGCUAACCUGCCCUUAGGACAGGGACAACCCCGGGAAACUGGGGCUAAUCCCUGAUAGGUGAGGGUUCCUGGAAUGGUCCCUCGCCGAAAGGGCGCCUAGACCAUGCUUCUAGGCGCUGCCCAAGGAUGGAGCCGCGGCCGAUCAGGUUGUUGGUGAGGCAACGGCUCACCAAGCCUUUAACCGGUACGGGCCGUGAGAGCGGGAGCCCGGAGAUGGGUACUGAGACAAGGACCCAGGCCCUACGGGGCGCAGCAGUCGCGAAAACUCCGCAAUACGCGAAAGCGUGACGGGGCUAUCCCGAGUGCCGUCCGCUGAGGAUGGCUUUUCCCUAGUGUAUAAAGCUGGGGGAAUAAGGAGAGGGCAAGCCUGGUGUCAGCCGCCGCGGUAAUACCAGCUCUCCGAGUGGUGGGGAUGCUUAUUGGGCCUAAAGCAUUCGUAGCCGGUUGGGCAAGUCCUCCGUUAAAUCCAGCGAUUCAAUCGUUGGACUGCGGGGGAUACUGCCCGGCUUGGGGGCGGAAGAGGCCGACGGUAUUCUCGGGGUAGGGGUGAAAUCCUAUAAUCCCGGGAGGACCACCAGUGGCGAAGGCUGUCGGCUAGAACGCGCCCGACGGUGAGGGAUGAAAGCUGGGGGAGCGAACCGGAUUAGAUACCCGGGUAGUCCCAGCUGUAAACGAUGCAGGCUAGGUGUUGGCGCGGCUACGUGCCGCUCCAGUGCCGCAAGGAAGCCGUUAAGCCUGCCGCCUGGGAAGUACGGCCGCAAGGCUGAAACUUAAAGGAAUUGGCGGGGGAGCACCACAAGGGGUGAAGCUUGCGGUUU
rnacentral:rRNA from 1 species